CCCUAACUACGAUGAUAUCUAGUACUAUCCCCAAGGUUUGGAAGGAGGCCCAGGUACUCCCCCUAACUACGAUUAUAUCUAGUACUAUCCCCAAGGUUUGGAAGGAGGCCCAGGUACUCCCCCUAACUACGAUUAUAUCUAGUACUAUCCCCAAGGUUUGGAAGGAGGCCCAGGUACUCCCCCUAACGAUUAUAUCUAGUACUAUCCCCAAGGUUUGGAAGGAGGCCCAGGUACUCCCCCUAAUGAUUAUAUCUAGUCCUAUCCCCAAGGUUUGGAAGGAGGCCCAGGUACUCCCCUAAUGAUUAUAUCUAGUACUAUCCCCAAGGUUUGGAAGGAGGCCCAGGUACUCCCCUAACCUGACGAUUAUAUCUAGUACUAUCCCCAAGGUUUGGAAGGAGGCCCAGGUACUCCCC
ensembl:lncRNA